ensembl:lncRNA
AAAUGGUUUGUUUAUUGUUUGUCAUAUUGUUUUCGGACCACAAUAUUUUACAGAUUGUCUGGGUUUUCAACAUGCCAUUAAAAUAGAUACAAUCAAUUAACGAAAAUGUCUGAUGAGAAAAUGAUGUUCAAAAUGUCAUAAACGGAAAUUACAGAAGGUCAAAAGCAUAUGCCCAUUUGUCCUGCCAAACACACAGCUUUGCUAACAGUUCAUUGAGUUCAUUGUCUGACUGUGAGCUACAGUGCUCCCCUACUGGUAGGAUCCAAUUAUGACAGUACAAAUAGAUUCAAUAGAGGCUCGAGCAGACAUUUGCCUUCUCCUUUCAGUCUUAGAUAAGCUUGAGAUUGAUAGGAUCAUUAGAUUCAUAGCAGACUCAAGAGAUGUCAUGGUAGCAUUUUUAGAGGAACUUCAAUUAUGUUAUUUAUUUUAUGUGAUCUCAUCUAAUGCAAUCAAACGUAAGCUCUCUGGCCAAAUUGAUAAGUCGGUGGAUGAUUUGUCGAAGGGCAAGAAAUUAAACAGCAUGAUUCAGCAGAAAAUGACCGCCACAAUAACACUGUAAUGCAGGCCUCAUUGAUUUCCACCAGCGUAAGCUAAGAGAGGGUCAUUUCCCGACACCAUUAAAGCGUAAUGACUCUUCUUGAUGUGCAAAUCAUUUUGGAUGAGAAUGUCCCUUUGUCGCAAACACAUUAAGUCAGGGAAUGAUGUUACUGGGCUUGCAGAAUUUAUCUCCAGAGGGAUGGCCUGUAUGGCGCAAGAUUGUGGAAUAAAUUAAAUGUGCCAGUGCAGUUUCUCUGAGUAUUGAUAUUUACUCUGUGAUCACUAACAACCAGCUCUCUGUAAUAUAAUUUCCUUUAGUAUUGAUACACAGGAUUGAGGUAUAAUAUACAUAUGUUGGGUUCAAAUUCAGUUACUCCUUCAUAGUUUUUCAUUCUCCUGACAUAUUCUCCCAAUCUACUCUUUCACUCUCAAUGAGGUAUCCGCAGGCAAUAUGGUCAUCUCUGGGCAGCAGUCCUGAGGCCAGAAACCGUGUUACCACAAAAUCUAUUUGUAUGCAAGCUAAAUGUUGCGUAGGAGGUCUUUUGUAUUUUUAAGACCAAUAAAAAUGUCCAUUACUGCACCAAGCAAGCCUGUAGUACAAGACACGACUCCCUAAAGUGAAAACGAACAUAAUAGCCUGUUUCAUCCGGAAAGGCAAAAUGAACAAAUUGUACAAAAUGCUAAAUAAUAAAUAAACACUGGUGAAGUCGAUACACAGAAGACACAACAUUCGUCAGAAUGGUUAAUCAAAUCAUAUUACACUGCACAAUAAUACGAUACUGCGAAAAAACAUCCUGGGAGAGGUAACUGUAAGAGUUUAAUAUCUCCCUCCCUCUCUCUCUCUCUCUCUCUCUCUCUCUCUCUCUCUCUCGCUUUCUCUCUUUUUGCUGCUAGCGUCUAUAGGGGCUGGAAAGCGUAGCUGAAAGCCCAGUAAAGUAAUUAGGCUUUGUUAAUCUGUCCAGUUACUUGAUAAAUGGUCCUGGAUAUGGAAACCAGGCAGUCAUCCUGGCUCUACUUUGGCUCAUGCAGCGGGACGUUAGCUCCUUUAGCUCCUCCAAGUCAGUGUCGAGAGGACUCUCCUCAACUACGCGUAUUCUUAAGCAAUAACAACGUGAUCCGUAUUAUCCACCCAAGAAUACCCGUCACCGAAGAGAGUCACAGAGGAGGGGGAGGAAGAGAAGAGAGGGCAUUGGGGACAGCAGCAGGGGAACUCAAGAGGUCCUCAAUAGUAGUGUGAGCCUGAGUGAUGUCAUGUUCUCUAUGAGUUGAGUGAUUGAUUGAAGAUAGCCUGCUGCCCGAGGAUGGGGCAGGUGGGGCCCUCCAUGUCAGAUGUGUUCU